AUCUUUGCGCUUGGGGCAAUUACGCAGCUAAUGAGGUUCUAACCAAAGCGCGUCUAUAGCUGGUUGAAAACUAUUUCCAAACUCCAUUUUAGGCUUGGGUUUAGUCUUGUGCCUUUGAGAAUUUUUGAAAAGGUCAACUCUCU